AAAAAUUUAGUUAAUGUAAUAACAUUAGUUUGUCAAACUAAAAUAAUUUCUUCAGAAAUAAUUUUUA
rnacentral:tRNA from 1 species